ensembl:lncRNA
CCUCAUCAUAAACCUUCUGAGAAAUGCUUGAUUCUAGUGAACUCUCACACCUCUUGAUUCCUUUCUGUGUUAAUGAUUUACAUAGGAUCAUACGCAUAGCCAACGGUUCUGAGCCACUUACAGUAAGCUGUCAAAGAACUCUCUCGUUGGUGCACGCAGUUCUCUCUCAAACACGCCAGCUAAUGACUUAUCAGAUGAUGAUUAUCUCUAGCAAGUAUCUAGCAGAUAUUUCGCUUGAGUUAGUAUCACCAGGAUGACUAUCUGGAAUGUGCUUGUUCAAAAGUAUCUUUGCUGCCUUUAAAAAGGCCUCAGGCACAUCUUAUUGUUCUGUGGAAGUAGAAUGAAGAAGACUUCAGACACAAUAUUUUGUCCUUUCAGAAUGAGAUUUGCCAUAGUAAUAUUUAAAACCCAUUUGGAGUUAAAUGUUACCUGAGACAAUAUGCAAACAAUACAAAAGUGGAUGACUUUGUAAAAGCCCCAACGCAAUACUGCUCAUGCAUUCUAUGAAACUUCCGAAGCAGGAAACACUUUUGGCUCCAGAACAGUAUUGUCUUCUGAUUUCCUGAACUCAGAGAUGCAGGCAUAUGGAUAGGGAGUACAGCUCAGUAAAGAUUUUGGGCAAAUGGCCAGACUGGAGGAAGCUUCCCAACACUUUCCAGCCAGGAAGCCUCAGUUGACAAUCCUAGUGCCAGGCCACAGCACUGCCUUUCAUUCACACUAUGAGUGAUGGUUUGCUCAGAGAACAGCUUCCUUGUUGCACUGACUGAGGCCAGCAUAGGACAGAAAUGCCAGAAGGCACUGUGUGUAUGGCCUCCUUUGCAAGUUGUUCAUCCAGGCACACAGAAAAUAACCAGAAAGGACAAGGCACAUGCACUAGGUCCUGCCAAGUUGUCAAGAGAAGUUCAUGUGGUACAAUGCAGAAGCAGGACAGAUUCCAUGUGAAUAAAGCCUCUAUUUCCCUUUGUAGAGAGGCACAUGCCUUACUAGGAUGUGUACUGUUUCCUUUCCAACAACCAGUGCCUCUUAGGAUUUGCUGAUGAGUGCAAGUUUCUGUUGCUUUGGAAAAAAUUGUUGCAAAAGAUGAUGAGGUGGUGUAUUAACUCCUCUCUGCUUUUCAGUUGGCUUCACUUUCCAUGGGAGGACUACUUUACUCAAAUAUUCAAGAUGAAAAAAGUGCCUUCGCUGUUACUCUUUUAAAAAUAUAUAUUAUUAGUAUUGUGAUCCCUCAAGAGAACUGUUGCACACACAGCAACCAGCUAGUAAAGGGCAGAGAUAGCAAUCAGGAAUGAUUAAACCGUAAAAAAAUGUCAGUGGCAUAACAUGACCUAACUGUGAUUCCACAAAUUAUAGAUGAAUGCAGAGGCUGAAAAAGCAAAAGCAGAAAACACACUGUAAUCUUUAUAUUCAUAUCCCCCAAAUUUUACCAAAUUCUUUGGACCAGUUGCAGACAUUUACAGAAACUAGCUGCUGUUUUCUGUACUUUGUCCAUUGAGAAAUGGGUUUGGGUAGAAAAGUUGACAAGAGAGCUUGAGAUUAAACUUGUCCUCGUCUUUAGAGGUCAGAUAGGUCAUAUUUACAGAGACACAUGAGCAAAUUCCUACCCCCAGUGUGCUGAUGAAAACAGGUUGGGAUGGAACAACAUGACCUUUACAACUCUGCUACUAAGAAAAGCCACGUGUGCAAAGGUACACACAAGAAGGAGGGGGAAGAAGUGGAAGCUUGCUCUCAGUGUUAGAUUAACUCCUGCUUCUUAGUGACAGGCUAUCAAGUAUGUGCUUGAGCUGAGAAUCCUACAAGUGCCAUGAACAGUACCAGACUAACCUCUGCUCUGAGGCUUGCUUGUGAAAGACAGGGCAGGUUUGCUUGGUUUGCUCUUGGAUUCAUGGCAAGACCUAUCCAGAAAAUAGGAUGCUGUACAUACCUGACACAGCUUCUCUUCUGAGAAAAAAUCCUGAAGGUUUCACCAUAUUUUGUUAUGAUAUAUCCAAGAAAGAGAACUAGACUGUCACAUUUUCAUUCUAAAAAUAAUCAAAACCAGCACAUGGCCCAACUGAAACACAAGAGAAUCAUUUUCAGAUUUUCACUUUGUCUUAAAUUUUGUGAUAGAGUUGUUUUAUGUUAAUUUUGCAAGAAAAGCUAGAAAAUGUCUGUUGAGCUCACAGCUUAGGGUUGGGGUUCUGAGGUGGGAGCCUGGCGUGCACUCCCACAGUCAGUCAAGACAAGGAAAAGCUCUCAGGCUUUCCCAUUUUAGAUUCAUUCUGGACUGAGGCAAAAAUUUUAUCAGUUCAGAGUAAGGUUUGAAAAAAACUCUGCCUUUAAACCCUACUACUUCCAGUCUAAGACAGUUUACUACUGCCUAAGAGACAAAAGAGUUAAUCCCUUUCCUGACAUGUUCACAGGACUCUGCAUUUCACAGAGCGUUCAAAAACAGAAAUGGAUGAUUCUUCUCAGUAUUAUUAAAAGACACAUCUCCAAGGUAAAAGACUUGAGGUUCUCAAGUGAAGGAUAACUCUCAUACAAUUUUGGUGCAGUUUAUACGACAGAAGGAAGGUGUGCCACCCAAAGGAACCUGGACAAGAUUGAAAAGUGGGCCCACAUGAACACAGCGAGGUUCAACAAUCCAAGUCAAAGGUAUUGCACUUGGAUUGGAGCAGUGCCAGACAUCCCAGACUGGAAGAAGGACAUGGAGGUUUGGAGGACAAAAAGCUGGACAUGAGCCAGCAGUGUGCGUUUCCAGCCCAGAAGACCUGCUGUAUUCUGAGUUGCUUCAAAAGAGGGAGGGCCAGCAGGGAGAGGGAAAGGACUGUUGCCCUCUGCUUUGCCUUCAUGGGGCCCUGCCUGCAGCACUGCUUCCAGGCCUGGGGCCCCCAGCACAAGAAAGAUGCUGAGCUGUUGGAGCGGUUCCAGAGAAGGGCCAUGAAGAUGAUCAGAGGGCUGGAGCACCUCUCUUACGAAGACAGGCUCAGGGACUUGGGAUUGUUCAUCCUGGAGAACAGAAGGCUCCUGGAGGACCUCACUGCUGCCUUCCAGUACUCAAAAGGAACUUGCAAACAGGAGGGAAACCAACUUUUUACAAAGGUAGAUAGUGAUAGAACAAAGAGGAAUGGCUUUAAACUAAAAUAAAGGAGGUUUAGGUUAGAUGUUCGGAGGAAAUUCUUUACUCCAAGGGUGAAGAGGCACUAGCACAGGCUGCCCAGAGAAGCUGUGAGUGUCCCAUCCCUAGAGGUGCUUAAGGCCAGGUUGGAUGGGGUCCUGGGCAGCCUGAUCUGGUGGGAGAAGACCAGCCCACGGCAGGGGAGGUUGGUACUGAAUUGUUUUUAAUGUCCCUUCUCAUCUAGACCAUUUUGUGAUUCUGCGGUCCCUGAAAGAUAUUUGUAGGGUUUUUUUACAACAUUGUUCUGGAGUGGUAACAGUUCUGAAAUUGUGGAAUUCCCUAGAAAAUAGAAAAAACUGUUCCCUCUCAGCACACAAUGUGUUUUAAAAUGUCUAGCAGUUCCUCAGUUUUCAAAAAAGCACAAACAUGAUGCAUCCCACAGCAUCUGGUAGGAAACGUAACAUGAGAAAUUCUCUUGAUUAUACAGCUGGAUACAACAGGGCCACAGAUUCAUAAGUAAGCUAUUAAAAUUGUAAGGUCAAUGCAUUUUUCUUUAUCCUGGUAUGUCAUUUGUAUGCUCCAGCAUUUUGUCAACUAAGCCUUUUUUCCUCUUGAGCAACCUUAUUGACGAUAAAAUGUACGAAAUCCAGGUGUAGCCUUGCUUGCAGCUUAAGAAAGCCUUUGAAGAGGCCACAGAAUCAUAUAUCAUUAAGAACUGCAUGAAGUAUCAAAAAAACUUUUGGCCAGCCCAACAAGCCUGCAAAUAAAGGCCAUGCCAUCAGUCUGGAAACAUGAAGCAGCCCAUCAAGGUUAUUUUGGUAUAUUUUGCAUUUUAGCACUUGACUACCAGGUUUCUUUCAAAACCACCACUAAAACACCCAAUUUCAGCAGUGAUGUAUGAAUGAGGCUCAGUCAGCAAAUCAAAUAGUUUUUCAAGUUCAGGGUUGAUUGCAGCCAAGCCCCUUCAUCAUCAUCAGGGUGUGCGAUAGGUAAAUGGCCUAAUUCUCACUUCUACCAGAGUGCCAGUGCUGAUACAGCCCUCACUAUCAUUGUGUUUAUAAAGCUACCUGACAGCGAUACAACACUGUCCUCUUCUAAUACAGAAAUAGGAGUUAACAAUACAUCUGCAUUCACACUAUGGCCAGUCUAAACUUGGACGUUUUACUGGCAGAGACAUGCUGGUUCAGAGUGCAGAGAAAAGUGUCACACACCUCUCUGACAGCUGUGCUGGCAGGCACCCUGGAGGAGUGCUUAGAUAGACAAAACAAGUUUCUGCAGGGUAGAAGUAGCUGUCUGCAUAAGCUUGUCUCAUAUGAGAAGCAGGGUACUUUGAACUGGCUUAGCACCCUUUCACUGAGUUUGACCCAACGUCUAAAGCCAUAGCUGUGUCAUUAAAGAUACUUAAUUCCAGGAAAUAGUAAAAGCAGUAACAGCAAGAGAGCUCUUUUGCCAGUAUAGAUAUCUUCCCUCAAGGGUAGGAAAUGCAUCAGUAGAACUACCAUAAAUAAGAUCUGAAGGGCACGGGUUAUACCUCUUGAACUACAACAAUGUUGUUAAAAUGGUCCAGAAGAUGAGGCAGUCUGAGACUACUCUUUGACUGCAGAUGACUUCAGUUAGAGAUGCUUUAGGACAAUGUAUCAAAAUAGCUGUAGAUUAUUAAGCUGUAAGUUUUAUUAGGUGGUUUCAAUAAUGCUGUUGCAAGAGAGUAAAAUUGCAGGCUCAGACAGUGACAGUGAAGUUGAACUCAAACAGGGAUGGGGAUUCCCAAGGAUGGCAAAUUUGGACAUCCCAUUUGUGACUCAGAAGCUGAGGAGACUCCAAAAGCUUCCCUGCUGCCUUUGGUACAAAACUCUGCUGUGUACAUUCUUCCUCCCAUUGUUUUACAGUGCUAAAAUUAGUGCAGAGCGACUGUGUAAACAUGUAUGGCAAUAAAGAAACUUUGCUGAA